AGUUCCCAGUGUUCAUAAACCCAAUUUGAUUAGCUUAUUCAGCCUGAUACCCAGAAUGUGUAGGAAACUGGUUGUACUGAAUCAGACGGAGGCUACAAUGGUCAGGAAUGUUUAUUUAUGAGAGCUCUGCCUCAUCAUUUCCCGGGUACAUUGGUCUAUAUACCUCACGUUUCGUCAUAAAUGUCCCUCCUCCUCUCAGAUACAAUGGCAGCAUAGUUCACAAGUCUUCUCCUACUCACACUGUCUGCCACCUGUUAAACAAUCUAUGACAAGCCCAAGGUCUCUCCUCUCCCUGGGUGGGGACAGGAUGUCCUAUAAGGAAUGUCAGUAUAGCCCAAGGUCUCUCCUCUCCCUGGGACAGGAUGUCCUGUAAGGAAUGUCAGUAUAGCCCAAGGUCUCUCCCCUCCCUGGGUGGGGACAGGAUGUCCUAUAAGGAAUGUCAGUAUAGCCCAAGGUCUCUCCUCUCCCUGGGUGGGGACAGGAUGUCCUAUAAGGAAUGUCAGUAUAGCCCAAGGUCUCUCCUCUCCCUGGGACAGGAUGUCCUAUAAGGAAUGUCAGUAUAGCCCAAGGUCUCUCCUCUCCCUGGGACAGGAUGUCCUAUAAGGAAUGUCAGUAUAGCCCAAGGUCUCUCCUCUCCCUGGGUGGGGACAGGAUGUCCUGUAAGGAAUGUCAGUAUAGCCCAAGGUCUCUCCUCUCCCUGGGUGGGGACAGGAUGUCCUGUAAGGAAUGUCAGUAUAGCCCAAGGUCUCUCCUCUCCCUGGGUGGGGACAGGAUGUCCUGUAAGGAAUGUCAGUAUAGCCCAAGGUCUCUCCUCUCCCUGGGUGGGGACAGGAUGUCCUGUAAGGAAUGUCAGUAUAGCCCAAGGUCUCUCCUCUCCCUGGGUGGGGACAGGAUGUCCUGUAAGGAAUGUCAGUAUAGCCCAAGGUCUCUCCUCUCCCUGGGUGGGGACAGGAUGUCCUGUAAGGAAUGUCAGUAUAGCCCAAGGUCUCUCCUCUCCCUGGGACAGGAUGUCCUAUAAGGAAUGUCAGUAUAGCCCAAGGUCUCUCCUCUCCCUGGGACAGGAUGUCCUAUAAGGAAUGUCAGUAUAGCCCAAGGUCUCUCCUCUCCCUGGGUGGGGACAGGAUGUCCUAUAAGGAAUGUCAGUAUAGCCCAAGGUCUCUCCUCUCCCUGGGUGGGGACAGGAUGUCCUAUAAGGAAUGUCAGUAUAGCCCAAGGUCUCUCCUCUCCCUGGGUGGGGACAGGAUGUCCUAUAAGGAAUGUCAGUAUAGCCCAAGGUCUCUCCUCUCCCUGGGUGGGGACAGGAUGUCCUAUAAGGAAUGUCAGUAUAGCCCAAGGUCUCUCCUCUCCCUGGGUGGGGACAGGAUGUCCUAUAAGGAAUGUCAGUAUAGCCCAAGGUCUCUCCUCUCCCUGGGUGGGGACAGGAUGUCCUAUAAGGAAUGUCAGUAUAGCCCAAGGUCUCUCCUCUCCCUGGGACAGGAUGUCCUAUAAGGAAUGUCAGUAUAGCCCAAGGUCUCUCCUCUCCCUGGGUGGGGACAGGAUGUCCUAUAAGGAAUGUCAGUAUAGCCCAAGGUCUCUCCUCUCCCUGGGUGGGGACAGGAUGUCCUAUAAGGAAUGUCAGUAUAGCCCAAGGUCUCUCCUCUCCCUGGGUGGGGACAGGAUGUCCUGUAAGGAACACAGCAUUCCAUAACUUCAUUAGUUUCUAACAAGGAACAGACUGUCCUUGUUCUAAUUGUUGACUAAAACUACACACAUUAAAUGUAGUGAUUUUAAUAAGUUUCAUACAAUCAUACAGGGUAGUAAUUCUGUUGGUUAUAGUUGUACGUUAAAUGUAUACAUCAUUUAGUCAUUAUUCAUUAAAAAAAUCUCAUAAACACACAAACAGACCUACACACACCUCACACCCUCUCUCUUGGUUGAUUACGAGCCUCUCUCUCUCUCUCUGUCUCUGC